ensembl:snRNA U6 U6 spliceosomal RNA
GUCUUCUUCAGUAGCACAUCUAUUAAAAUAAAACAAUACAGAAUAAAUCAGCAUGGCCCCGACACAGGAUGACACAAAAAUCUGAGAAGUGUUCCAUAUUUCA